UAUCGCCUGGAGAGAGGGGAGGUCAAAAUCCCCUUUCCCGGUGCCUCUACCAAACCCAAACUGUGUACCAAACCAUGUUGCUUCCCCAGCCCCGCGGGGAGACCUGCCCGGCAUUGGCCCCCCCGCUUUGACCGAGGGCCUGCCGGCUGUGGGCUGGGAGAAGGGCCUGAACGACUAUGUUCUAAAAACCCCUCCCCCAAAACAGCCUGAAGAGGAGAAGUCUGACCAUGGCGCUUGCGCCAACCGUUUUGUUACAACAUACUUAAAACUUUCAACAACGGAUCUCUUGGUUCUCGCAUCGAUGAAGAACGCAGCGAAAUGCGAUAAGUAAUGUGAAUUGCAGAAUUCAGUGAAUCAUCGAAUCUUUGAACGCACAUUGCGCCCCAGGGCAUUCCCUGGGGCAUGCCUGCUCGAGCGUCACAUAGAAACCCCCUCACAAGCAUUUGUGGUGCUGACGGAUGUGGCUCGCCCCCCGACCUUUGCGGGGGCCCCACACCGUUGAAAUGGAUCCGGCGGACGCAACCCUCCUCGCCCAAACUGGCUUAGUAAUGCUCGAUACCCAGUCGACCAGCCAGGAGUAGGGUUGACGUCUCGCCCGCAAACAAUGGACCCCCUCUGUCAAUCAGGAUGAGGAACCUAGGGUUGACCUCGGAUCAGGUAGGGAUACCCGCUGAACUUAAGCAUAUCA
rnacentral:rRNA from 1 species